rnacentral:misc_RNA from 1 species
GAAGGAAGCCAUUAAAUCAAAUGGCGACGGAGCUAGAAGAAUUGAUUGGGUUUCUAUCAUCCCCUUCUCCUCCAGUGAAAAAAAUAGCGGUUGAUAUUGUUCGUGAUUAUACUGGUUCUGAGGAUGGCUUGGAAUCUCUUGGCAAGUAUUCUAACGUCGUGCUUCCUUCUCUGUCUCGCCUUCUUGGUGAAAAAAAGGUGGUUUCUGAACCUGCGGCUCAAGCACUGGUAAAUCUGUCACAAAAGCCAGAGUUGGCAGGUAAGAUGGUUGAGAUGCAUAUGGUUAGGACAUCGAUGGAAACCUUGUACAAGCAAGAUUGUGAAAUCACAAGUCUGCUGAUUAUGCUCCUUGUUAAUCUUACUCAGCUGGAUGCUGGUAUUGAUUCUUUGCUUCAGUCUGCAGAUGAGAAGAUGCAUGGUUUAUAUGUCAUGAAACUUGUGAGAUCAUUUUGUUCGUCCUCCUGUGAGGGAAAAGUUGAUCCCUUUGAACAUGUGGCUUCUGUACUUGUCAACAUUUCUAAGAAGGAACAUGGGAGAAAGCUUCUGCUUGAUCAAAAACGAUGCCUACUAAAGCAAAUAGUCCGUAAUGAUUCUAAGAGCUUGUUACGAAAGAGAGGGGUCGCAGGAACCAUCCGCAACUGCUGCUUCGAAGCUGAGAAUCAGCUGCAAAAUUUGCUUCUGAUUUCUGAAUUCUUAUGGCCAGCUCUGCUCCUGCCUGUUGCUGGAAAUAAGGUCUAUAGUGAGGAAGACACUCGGAAAAUGCCACUAGAGCUUGCAAGUGCACUCUCAAUCGAACGAGAACCCGUUACUGAUCCUGAAAUUCGUGUACAGGCGCUAGAGGCUAUUUAUUUGCUCAUAUUACAGGAAGCUGGCAGAAGAGCAUUUUGGUCAGUGAAUGGUCCCCGGAUAUUGCAAGUGGGCUAUGCAGACGAGGAUGAUCCUAAAGCAAUGGAAGCAUAUGAGCGAGCUGGCUCCUUGCUGAUUCAAGAGAGCGGCCUCGAUGAAGAAUUAACAGAUACGUCUUUGUUAGCAGAGACAUCUUCGUAGACAUCCUACUUUCUUGCUGGUUUUGAUUCUACAAUAGCAACGAGUUCCAACAAUCAAUUAGACAAUCUGCAGGUUGCUUAAGAGUAGUCAAGCUCUAUAGAAGUGGAAGGUCCAAAGUGUACUUUGAAUUAUUAUAUUUUUUGGGUUUCUUGUCGCCGGGUUAGUUAUGAUCCUCUUAAAGGUUGUUAUAUCAAGGACUCGGGUGAUGUAUUCCCAGAGGUUAUUGUUAUUACUAGAUAAUUUAAGGCCCGCGAUACGGGUCCAAUAUAAUUUUACAUUUUACAUAAAUUCACAACUUAAAAUAUUAUAAUCUUUCU